GCCCUGAAAUCCACUGAAGAAGUGAUCCUGGAUAUAGUUCUCCAUCUGUCUCAGAGGAAAGCACCAGCCCUCAGCUUCUACAAGAGGACCCAGUGGUCAAACUACAGCUUUAAACCUGACGUUGCUGUCUAUGAUCUAUAAACUGGUGCAACGCAAUACAUACGCCACGAAAAGAGACAUCUAUUACAAUGACACACAGCUUUUUGGAUCUCAGAGAACUUUGGACCUUAUCGUCAUUGACAUUUCCUGUAUGCUUAAGGUCCCUCGAAGAAGCCUC